rnacentral:ncRNA from 1 species
AUCCCGAGGGGCGCGGCGGCAGCCGCUGAGAUGGACCUCCGGCCGGUCCAGCACCCUUAGAACCUGAUCCGGGUCAUGCCGGCGAAGGGACGGAG